AAUUUGUCAAAGCAAGUCUUGUCCAGAAAAACGUCAUGGCUAUUCAACGGGGAAAUGCUGCUAGCAUUCUUGCCAACAUUCCACGUGGUCAAGAUGUUUACGAAUACGCCUACAGGAUAACGGUAGUAAAACUUAAAGUAUGACGGACCAUCCUAGGUACUCCAC